GCGGUAACGCCACCGCGACUCGGUUCCCACCCGCGGCCUUCCUCGCACCCCAGCGCGGUGCCCUGCCCACCCCUUCCCGGACCCGGACCUCUCCAGGCCGUUUGCUCCCAGGCGUUCUCUCCGCUGUGACCUGCAGACCUGCAGCCGGACGCCAGACAGGUAUUCCGCAGGCAGCGAGGAAGGCCCUCGCACUGACCUGAAAGAACCUGGAGCAACAAUUAGGAGUUCGCAGACAGCGCCGGGUCCGACCGCAGCGAAGGAAGGCGGGCACCCGGACUGGUGCCCACAGCUGCGCCCGGCAGGUCACGUGAGCGUGCGUCCCCGAGCCCCGCCCACUAGCCGGGGACUGCCCGCCGCCACCGCCUCUUUCCCCCAGUCCCCCUCUACCUCCCUGGGCCCUUUUGUCCUUUACCUCUUCUGAGAAGUUUGUCAAAGAAAGAAUUUUAGUGAAAACCGCGGAGACUUUUUUUUUUCUUCAAUGGGUUGGGCUGCCCAGGGGAAGAGUCUUAAGAAUAUUGCUCUUCAAUUCCAUUGGAAGAACGUAGACCAACCCCCAUAAAAUGGGUACUGGAAAACCAUGUCUGUCAUGGCUGAGCAGUCUUCUAAAUUUAUCUUUUCAAGAAAGGCAUCAGAAAAGCCACUUCCAAUACAGAGAAGGGGGAGAUUUGUAAGAGUUGCCCUAAGACAUUUACUUCACCUACAAUGUUUUGAAGCAGGUUCACCCUAAUAUUGGCAAUUCAUUAAACAUCAAACGUAUCGUGAAUCAUUUUUGUAAUGAUAUCAUUAAAUGCAUUUCAUACUGUGUCUCCUUCUUGGGCCCACUCCAAUCCGCACUCUACCAUCACCUCCAGAGAGAUCAAGUCUGCCGGCUAUGCACCUGCCCCUGGGAGAUUGGCAAGCACACAUUGUCCGAGGCCACCAAGACUGUUCUCAGGUACACCAGCUAUAAAUGAGCUGUCUCUGACCAUCUGAGCAUUGCAACCCAAAGGCUCUAUUCAGAGCGACCUCAGUUUUCAUAAUAAUAACUGUAUUCCAGCAGGGUCUGAUCUUUUAUUUUUCGAAGUGUGGCAUUCUGUUAAUAUUAAAACAUCUUUUUUUUUUUUACAAUUAAAUAAUUAUUACUGAUUUUAUUUUACUAUAUCUAUGGUCUAAUUCAAGCAUGUCAAGCUCACGGCCCACGGGCUGCAUGUGGCCCACAACGAAUAUCUU